UUUAAACAAAAGAUGGUGAGGAUUAGGAGGAGAAAAUCAAGCCCAUGAUGCACUUCAUCACCAUACUCCCUGCCUUGGCCAUUAAACAUUUCCCUGAGUUGCUUACCUGGUAACUAAGCUGUUCACAGCUUGUCUUCUGUCCUUUUUGGGAGUUGUAACAAGGUCAACCCUGGCUAUCACAAAGACCCAGAGGAGGGCUGUUUAUGUCAUCUUGGAAAAGGAAGCAGGUUUCCCAGGCAUGCUUUCUGGUCUGGAUGCUGACUGUGCAAUCUCUCAGGCCCUCCUAAGCAUUCUGCUUAAACAAACAUUAUUUAUGUUCAGCAGGAGAACCAUUCCCUACUGUCUGCUUUCUCUUCACUCACGUAAAACUGCACGUUUAAUUUCUGUUUACACACAUAUAAACCAUAUCUUUAGGAGCAGCUUGGGAAAUCCUUGGUUGAAGAUGGAUUUUGCCUUUGGAAAACACUGAGGAUUGAUUAUCAUAGCAUGCUGUUUAUGAGAAAAUCUACCACUUGUAAAUCAAAGGAAAUGGGAGAUUUGAUUUGAAACUAGACUGUACAUUGGGAUUACAAGGUAACAGCUGUCCUGGGAACUAUUUCUGAAAGUAUGUCAAUAUUUUGGUGAGUUGGCUACCUGUGCUAUUAUGUUCCAAUAUACAGAUUUGGGUUCACUAAUGUCUCUCUUAUUGACACUAUUGUGUAGUACUGAACUUUGAAGGAACGACUGAUGUCCUUCUCACUCAAAUAUGAAAACCUAGGGACAGUCUUUCACAGCUGACAAUGGGAAUAUGAAAUAGGACCAAUGCUCUGCCCUCAUCUCCCUGUCUUCAAGAUAGUUAACAUUCGGUGACGCUUCAGUGAUGUGCCAGGAGAUCCUAGAUUUCCUCAAUGUGAAUGAACUGCUAGUUUUCUCAUAAAAACCGUAUCUUAGGAGAUAUCCUCUUUUCAAAAGUGAGAAACUGAGGCAUGAAUGAGCUUUGGUGAUUAUUGAUGAUUUUGGUUUGGAUGGGCCCCAGAUUUUCUGGGCUCAUGCUGUCAAAGUCCUAGAAACUUCUGAGGCCAAGCAGGGGACUCUGGUAUGAGCAGUUUGAAUCCCAGGACCUGCCUGUGGUUAAGAUUCUGAACUUUUACGCUGUGGUUGGGAGCAUCCUUAUAGGGAUCUUUUUCUCCCUGCUGAGCUCUGUGAUUUGGGCUGGAAACUUUUCCGUAUGUUCUAUUUGAGCCUGUCCCACCAUUUGAAACUUCCU